AAAAGAUAAACAUAUUGAAACAGAGCUGCUUCAUCAUAUUUGAAGACAGUUCUAAAUCCUGGGUUCUCUGGAAGGACAUUCAAACAGGAGCCACUGGAAGUGGGGAAAUGGUCUGUACAAUAUGUCAAGAAGAGUAUUCAGAAGCUCCCAAUGAAAUGGUUAUAUGUGACAAGUGUGGCCAAGGAUAUCAUCAGUUGUGUCACACACCUCAUAUUGAUUCCAGUGUGAUUGAUUCAGAUGAAAAAUGGCUCUGUCGGCAGUGUGUUUUUGCAACAACAACAAAGAGGGGUGGUGCACUUAAGAAAGGACCAAAUGCCAAAGCAUUGCAAGUCAUGAAGCAGACAUUACCCUAUAGUGUGGCAGACCUUGAAUGGGAUGCAGGUCAUAAAACCAAUGUCCAGCAGUGUUACUGCUAUUGUGGAGGCCCUGGAGACUGGUAUUUGAAGAUGCUACAGUGCUGCAAAUGUAAGCAGUGGUUUCAUGAGGCUUGUGUGCAAUGCCUUCAAAAGCCAAUGCUAUUUGGAGACAGAUUUUAUACGUUUAUAUGCUCUGUCUGCAGUUCUGGACCAGAAUACCUCAAACGUCUACCAUUACAGUGGGUAGAUAUAGCACACCUAUGCCUUUACAACCUAAGUGUUAUUCAUAAGAAGAAAUACUUUGAUUCUGAACUUGAGCUUAUGACAUACAUUAAUGAAAACUGGGAUAGAUUGCACCCUGGAGAGGGAAGUAAGCAAUGGCAUAGAAAAAAAAGGAAAGAAAA
rnacentral:sRNA from 1 species